rnacentral:pre_miRNA from 1 species
GAAGUACUCCCUCCGUCCGGAAAUACUUGUCAUCAAAAUGAAUAAAAGGGGAUGUAUCUAGACGUAUAUUAGUUUUAGAUACAUCACUUUUUAUCCAUUUUGAUGACAAGUAUUUUCGGACGGAUGGAGUAUUUC